GCGCACACACACACACACACACACACACACACACACACACGCAUGUUUUACAGGUGCUCAUGGAAGCCAGAGGUAUGGAGCUAUCUGAAAUGGGAGUUGUGAGCCUCCUGGUAUGGGUGUUGGGAAUUGAACUCAGGCCCUCUGAAAACACAGAUUAAUGGCCUGUCUUAAUCUCUCCUGCCCCACUUACAGUAGUUGUUAUAAACCAGUAGAUUGCUAUGGUUGUGAACUGUGGGUUUCUACCAGCAGAAUAGUAGCUCAGUUUUGUCUCUCCGGGCUUCUGGGUGAUACAGAAAGCAAUUCUACAAAUGUUUCUAGGAGAGGUGGGCAUUUGUGUCCUGUGCAGUUUUACACUUCCAAUUCGGAAGCUCGGGGUGGGAGCUAGAUUCCAGAGAAGUGUGCUUUCUGAAGAACGGCAUUUCUUCCUCUCCGAGGGGUCAUGUUCCCGCUCAGCCAGUGCAGUCCUUUCUCUCCUGGGUCCAUCAUAAUAAUAAACAUGACCUCCAAAAGCACACUGCCGCUUUCAGCUUCAGGCUCAAGCCUGGCUUUGGCGAUGACUCAGCAAAGUGAACUACUGCAUUGAGCAUAGGGUGAGGCAAGCCUCAUACGGUAUCUGGGGAAAUGUUAAAUGACGCACUGAAAAUGUAGUUCUAAUCAGAAGAAAAUAGUUUUUUAAUCAAGGUGGUUCCCACCCACCUCUUAGGCCACUCAGUGCCUUUAGUUUGUCUUUAAAAUCAGCUUGGAAAGAUAAAGGUAAUUAAUAAAUACAAAAGGGCAAAGAACAGCCAGGAGAAGAGUCUCAGAAAUGAGUUAGUAGUUAAAGGGUCAAGAGGAUAUUGGCCGGGAAGUAAGCUGUUGCUGCUUCUAGAAAGAUAGGUGUGGGUGUGUGGGUGUGUGGGUGUGGAUGCGUGUGCAUGUGCAUUCAGAUUUAUAUGUUGGGGUGCACAUGUGGGGGUCAAAGGACAGCUUUUAGGAAUCUCUCCUCCCUUGUUUACCAUGCUUCAGACUAGCUGGCCUCCAAGCUCCCAGGACAUUCUCUCGUUCUGUCUCCUAUCUUGCCUUAGUAAUACACUGUAUACCACCACUUAAUCUGGUGUUUUUUUCUGUAGGUUCUAGAUGUCAGACUCAGAUUACCUGGUGUUUUAAGGCCUGGUGAGGUGGUAUGUACCUGUAUUCCCAGAGCUUGAAGGACCGAGGAGUCCAAGGCUACAUAGAACUGCUGGAGAAAGAAAAAGCAUUGGGACACAGACAGCUAUAAUAAUCCAAGCAUUGUGCUAAGGCAAGACAAAAAUGUAUGUUACUAGCCAACUAUGCAUUGUGAGUAAUAAAGCAGUUAUUAAAGUUGCUUUUAAUUAGAGUAAGGGGAAAGAAAGAAAUAUGAGAGAGACCUGGGGAGACUCUCGGUUUGUCGUUUUUCCUGUCUACUCUCUGCAUAGCUAAAAUGUCCAUUUUGAGAGAUCAAGAAAUCAACUUUCUCACUCUAUCUUUCCCUAAGUGUUAAAAUUUGGUUUGCUUCACUUUUUUUUUUUUUUUUUUUUUGUUUAUUGUGUUUGGAGACAUGGUCUUGCUAUUAGCCCUGGCUGGUCUGGAACCUGCUGUGAAAACCAAGCUGGCCUCAAACUUGCCGUGGUCUUCUUGCCUCUGCUUUCCAAGUGCUGUGACUGCAGGCAUGCACACCUCACCUGCCUCUUUAGCUCUAACCGUAAGAAGCAGUAACACGAAUCUGAGUCAGUGUAUAGUUCAAGCUGGCAGGUGAGUUAACUGAGCGUCGAAGUACAAAACACCAGUGAUGACGGUGACAGUUCCUUCAUGAAAAGAUGAGUUCCGGGGCUGGAGAGAUGGCUCAGUGGUGACCUGCUUUUGCAGAGGACCUGGGUUCAGUUCACUCUGGGAUAUGAAAACAUCCUUCAGUGAGGCUCUGGGGCAACCCUCUCCCUUUUCCCCAUUACCCCGGGGUUCCAUUUUUUUGUUUUCCUGUUUCAAUCCUAACUGGAAUUACCUUUUUAUUCAGCUAUUUUUGGAUGACUAUAUUUUACAUUCUGAGUUCAUACCACUGACCUCCCUGGACUGAACCUAGGGCAGUGUGGAAGAGGAAGUCUCCAACCUUGUUGGUUUUUGUAACUUGGGCUGUCUUUAGACUCACAGCUCUCUCUCAAUAUUUAAAAGUGUGUGUGUGUGCGUGUGCGUGUGUGUGCAUGUGCACGUGCGCGUGUGCGUGUGCAUGUGUGUGUGUGUCGUAGUGAGCAAGCCGAGCACACUUCCUGGAGGCCUGAGGACAGUUCUGCAGAGUUGGUUCUCUCCUCCCACCUUUACACAGGGUUGAAGAGUGAGCACAGGUUCAUGGUGGCAAGCAUCUCUACCCACUAAGUCAUUUCGGGAGGUCCCUUUCUAACAGUUUUUGAUUAUACACUUGCCAUUUUUUUAAAAAAAAAA